rnacentral:lncRNA from 1 species
GAGGGAUCGGGCUACUGUAUCUAGAACCACGUGAUGUCGGGCCAUCCAAUCCAUACCAAGGAUGACAUCUAUGCCUUCUAGGUCAAGGAUGAUAAGGUUUUCCUUGAAGAGGGUGGGGCCUAGCUGGAGGGGUACAAGAGUAACAAUCUGAUUCGACGUUAUCCUUCCUCCAGGAGUGUCGAUCACAUAAGGUUCCUUGGUGUGAUCGAC